rnacentral:rRNA from 1 species
UACAGAGGUCUCGAGCGUUAGGCGGAAUCACUGGGCUUAAAGCGUGUGUAGGCGGAUCGUUAAGUACCUUGUGAAAUCCCACGGCUUAACCGUGGAACUGCUUGGUAUACUGGCGGUCUUGAGCCAGCUAGGGGCUACCGGAACAAAUGGUGGAGCGGUGAAAUGCGUAGAUAUCAUUUGGAACGCCAAUGGUGAAAACAGGUAGCUGGGGGUGUGCUGACGCUGAGACACGAAAGCCAGGGGAGCAAACGGG